UACAGGGGGGGCAAGCGUUGUUCGGAAUUACUGGGCGUAAAGGGUCUGUAGGUGGCCAACUAAGUCAAACGUGAAAUCCCUCAGCUUAACUGGGGAACUGCGUCUGAGACUGGUGGGCUCGAGGACAGGAGAGGAACGCGGAAUUCCAGGUGUAGCGGUGAAAUGCGUAGAUAUCUGGAGGAACACCGGUGGCGAAGGCGGCGUUCUGGACUGUUUCUGACACUGAAAAACGAAAGCCAGGGGAGCAAACGGG
rnacentral:rRNA from 1 species